CUGCCAUGAUUGUGAUGCCUCCUGAGCCGUGUGGAACUGCCUGUGAAGUGGUUGCUGCUAUUCUGACCACGUUGUACAUCAAAGGCUGGGCACGAAGGCUUCUGGACUUAAUGAAGAAAGUUUAUCGAAAACUGCAUGUAAGACUUUUAGAAGCUGGACAGUGGAAACAAAAACAGGAAAAGGAAGGAAGGGAGGGAAGACAGAAGGAAGAACCAAAGAGACGCAGGUAUGAGUGAUGAGGCUUGAUUUAUGUAACUUUUGUUUUAUAGUAUAAAUGAAAAUAACCUAGAUGGCAAACUAUUUAAUUAUUUGAGCGGAACUUAUGAAUGAAAGAUAUGUUUUAGAGCUAUGUGACGGAGGGACAUUUUAACUUGAACUUUUUAGUGGCAAAAGUAGUGUAUAAACUAAUGUUAGUAUAUACGCUACAAAUGUGCUUAGUAUGGAAUAUUUUUUAAUGUAAUUUUAAAAAUGAAAGUCUUUUUUUUUUUUACAGUGAAGGCAAAUAACACUAAUUAUUUUUAUGGGUACAAGUGAAUGAUUUAUUUAUUACAUUGACAUACUUAACUAUUAGCAUUUUGGGGAAGCUGGAUUUUCUAUAAGCUUAUUUUGAAAAACAUGGUUUAUUAAAUUUUAUAAUAAAGUUAUUAAUAAAGACAUAGUUGAGUUUUUAUAAACACUAAAUGUGUAUAUUUGUUAUGGUUUUAAAUGUUAAAGAAAAAACUUUGAAAAUUAAUAUUGUGAUAAUAUACAUGCUUUGUGGUUGCUAUUAAAUUUAAGACCAAGAAGAAUGCCUAGAAUUGUUAAAUUCAAGAAAAUUGAAAUUUCAAGUACCCUCUCAGACUACAGUGGAAUAAAACUGGAAAUUAACUCCAAAGGAGUCCUCAAAACUACAGAAAUAAAUGAAAAUUAAAUAAUCUAUUCUUAAGUGAUCAGUGAGUCUAUAAUAAAAUCAAGAUAGAAAUUUAAAAAUUAUUUGUGCUGAACAAUAAUAGUGGCAAAACUUAUCAAAACCUCUGGGAUAUAGCAAAGGUGGUGCUAAGAGGGAAGUUCACAGUGUUAAAUGCCUACAACAAAAAGUCUGAAAGAGUGCAAAGAGACAAUCUAAGGUCACGCCUCAAGGAACUGGAGAAACAAGAACAAAACAAACUGAAACACAGCAGAAGACAAAACAUAACAAAGAUUAAAGUACAACUAAAUGAAAUUGAAACAAAAAACAUAAA